rnacentral:lncRNA from 1 species
GGGAGGAAUGUGAGUAGCCCAAGUAAGUUCCUUUCAUGCCAAAUCUAUUCUUGGUUUGGAGAUGGUGUUAGUUCUUUCAUCUUGCCCCACUAAAAAUAAAAAAUAAAAAUAAAAGGAGGAGUUACCACGUCGGCGAUUCAGAAAUCUUCAUCACCCAAAAUUCCAUGGUAAGUACCUUCAGGUAUGACUUGCUUUUGACUUUAAACAAAGCCCUUCUGGGAGGUAGCCUGAAGUUCACCAAUCUAAUACUCAUGUUUAUCUCCCUUUGAAUAUAGCUUGAUCAUGCUUUCAUGCUUUUUUUAUCUAUGCUUGUAUGCUAUGGUUUGAAUGUAUGUUUAAUGACAUAGUUUCAUAGGCAUUUUAAAUUAAACAUGGUGCUUAGGUUAAAAUGUCUUCUUCAAUCAAACUAGACAUGGUGUUGAGUUUGAUUGAUGAACCUAAAAAUUAAUACUUUCAUAGAUCUUGGUUGUAUAUGUGGACUAACCCCGGCAGGAAAGUCUUCAAAUCCAAAUGGGAAAGUCGUUAAGGUUGAUUCAAAUGGGAAGAUAGACCAAGGCAUCGGAUUCAUGUUGCACAACAUACAAAGGAGGUACAUAUCAUCGUCAAGGGCCCACCAUAAGUAUACCCUCUUUUGCUUAUGAUGGUGCAAUUUUAAUUCAGCCUUGCUUGAGAUAGGUCUGAUGGUCCCAAAAAUUUAGGUUCGAAUAAAGAAAGGCUCCCUAGUUCUCGAACUAGCAGAGUCCCCCUUUUGUUUCCACCAUUUUGUUUGAAUACAGCACCAAGUACAAGCACAAGUGUAGGGGAGAUCUCUCAAGCUCAUCGAUACACACACACUCGAGAUCUCCC